rnacentral:rRNA from 1 species
UACGAAGGGGGCUAGCGUUGCUCGGAAUUACUGGGCGUAAAGCGCACGUAGGCGGCUUUCUAAGUCGGGGGUGAAAUCCUGGAGCUCAACUCCAGAACUGCCUUCGAUACUGGAAAGCUCGAGUCCGGGAGAGGUGAGUGGAACUGCGAGUGUAGAGGUGAAAUUCGUAGAUAUUCGCAAGAACACCAGUGGCGAAGGCGGCUCACUGGCCCGGUACUGACGCUGAGGCACGGAAAGCGUGGGGGAGCAAAC